rnacentral:rRNA from 1 species
UACGUAGGGGGCAAGCGUUGUCCGGAUUUAUUGGGCGUAAAGAGCGUGUAGGCGGCCUGGAAGGUCAGCUGUGAAAACUCGAGGCUCAACCUCGAGACGUCGGUUGAAACCACCUGGCUAGAGUCCGGAAGAGGAGAAUGGAAUUCCCGGUGUAGCGGUGAAAUGCGCAGAUAUCGGGAAGAACACCCGUGGCGAAGGCGGGUUCUCUGGGACGGUAACUGGACGCUGAGACGCGAAAGCGUGGGGAGCGAACAGG